UCCUUGGUGGUUCAGUGGUUAAGACUCUGCCUUCUGAUGUCAGGGGCCUGGGUUCAAUCCCUGGUUGGGGAA
rnacentral:tRNA from 1 species